GACAAUCAGUGAGCUUACAACCA
rnacentral:piRNA from 1 species